AGAACCCGUGCCCCUCGUGGGAGCUGGGUCGCGGGGGUGCUGAGGCUCUGGGGCGCUGCAGCUUAGGCUAGGGUCCUCAGCAGGUGGAGGAGUUGCUGUGCCAUGGGGAAGAGGGCAGGAAGACAGUAGCCAACCAGGAGAAGUUCCAGGGGUCAAUCCUGAGACACACAGACCAAGUCUGGAGACCCAGCUGCAAAGUUCCAGAGAUUACUUCAAGACAGCUAGUUAACAACCUGGCUGUUGUUGAAAUGCCAUCAGCCCAGGGUCCAGGUGGACCAGGACCCAAGAUAGCCACCAGAAUAAGACACACAGACACUGUACUCAGCCCAGUUCUUGUCUGCCUUCCUUAUCAAGUUUUCCCUUUUUAAACCCCUGCCUUCUUCCUAAAAAUAGAAGCCGUUAAUUUGGAUAGGAAUCCGAUUGCUUUCCCUUUACUAUUUUUGGCUAAUAAAUUCUGUCUUUCUAUUAUACCUCACCCUUGUCAAUUGGACUCUGUAAGAAGCAAGUGUUCGGUUACACAGUGAUUGAGUCUCUCCCAGGCAUCAAAUCUCUCCCAGCCUUAAAGUCUUCCUAGCUGAGGCCCCAACACUGGGGGGAGCAGAGACAAACUGUCCCAGGGCCUGCCUGAAUUCAUGACUGCCAGAAACCAUGAGCUAAUAAAAUGAUUAAAGUUUUAAGCCACAAUUUUUUUUGGUCAUCACACAGCAAUAUAUGUAACCAGAGUUUUUAUCUGCCUACAUAAUAUGAAGUGCAGAGGUUAGGGAGACUAAGAAUACCAGAAAGUAAAGUUCUGUUGUAGUCCAGGGGCGCUAAAAGCCUGAACAGAAGAAGGCACUUGCAAGAGCAAAGAGUCUUUGCCAGACAUAUGGUAUUGAUUCCUAAAUCUGGAACUGGGUUUUCUCCACGUUGUUUGAAAGGACCAGGACCUGGCACUUGUAGUGGUGUGUUCAUUCUUACAGUUUAUUCAACAGAUCUUUACUGGGUCUUCUAGGGGCCUGGCACGGUGCUAGGUCCUGAAAGUAAAGUAAAAUAAAUAUUUAAUUUAUGUAUUAUAUUAGGGUCUUCCAGAGAAACCGAAUCAAUGGGAUGGAAGGAUGGAUAGGUAGAUAAACAGGAGGGGAUUUAUUAUGGAAAUAAAUUAUGGAGGCUAGGAAGUCCCACAAUUGCUGUCUGUAAGCUGAAGAACCAGUGAAGCCAAUUAUGUGUUUCAGUUUGAGUCUAAAGGCUUGAGAACCAGAGGAGAUGAUGGUGUAACUCAGUCUGAGGCUGAGGACCUAAGAACCUGAGGGGCCGCUGGUUAAGUCCUGGAGUUUGAAGGCCAAGAACCUGGAGUUUUGCUAUCUGAGGGCAAGAGAAGAUGGCUGUCCCAGGAGAGAGACUGAAUCCAUCUUUCCUUUGUCUUUUUGUUCUAUCCAGGCCCUCAACAGAUUGGAUGGUGCCCACCCAUAUUGGUGAGGGGGAUCUUCCUUACUCAGCUACUGAUUCAAAUGCCAGUCUCUUCUGGAAACUUCCGCACAGACAUGCUUAGGAAUAACGCUUUACUACCUAUCUCUGUAUCCCUUAAUCCAGGCAAGUUGGCACCUAAAACUAACCAUCACAGCCACCAAAGAGUUUAUAUAAACCACAUGAAAUUGAUUGAUUGGAGACAAGUUAGAACAAACACCAAAUAGUAAAAUAUCAAUGUAAUGCAGCAUGUAAACAUCUAAACAGUGGUCAGCAAUAUUUGCAUUAGGAAUUGAGUGAAAGGAAAUCCAUGUUAGCAGGGGCAAUCAAGAGGGAAAUCUAUACAGUUUCAUCAAUUCAGAGGAUCAACACUGGUCUGGAAGUGAAACCCAAGUUUCAGUCCAUUAUUCUGGUUCCCAGUUUUUAGCUUGAGAGGUCAACCUAGAUAAAAACCACAGUCCCUUAAAUUUCAGAAACAUAAGUGCUUUCAUGUGAAUGAUCUCAUUUGUUCCUCCUAGUGUGUGUGAGUGAGUGUGCAUGUGUGUGUGUGUGUGUGUGUGUGUGUGUGUGUAGCAGGGACAGGAGAGGAGGGAGAGGGAGAGAAAGUAGCAUGGAACUCUGUGGUAGUGAAGAGCAUGGUCUACAUCAGAAAGGCCUGAUUUAAGCCCUGGCUGUCUUUGAGGAAAUUAUUUUUACUUUUUCAGCUGCUAUUUUCUUAUCUGAAAAUGACGAUUAAUUAUAACAGUACUUCCCACACAGGUUUGUUGUAAAAAUUAAGUGAGCUAAUGUGUAUAAAAUACUUCAGUGCUGAAUAAAUGUUGGCUUUUAUUAUAUAUUGUUAAAAAACAACACAGGCUGGGUAUGAUAGCUCACGCCUAUAAUCCUAGCAUUUAGGGAGGCCAAGGCAGGAGGAUUGCUUGAGUCCAGGGGUUUGAGACCAGCCUGGGCAACAUAGUGAGACCCUAUCUCUACAAAAUAAAAUAAAUUAGUUGGGCAUGGUGGCACAUGCCUGUAGUCCCAGCUACUCAGGAGGCUGAGGUGGGAGGAUUGCUUGAGCCCAGGAGGUAGAGGUUGCAGUGAGCUGUGAUCACACCACUGCACUCCAGCGUCGGUGACGGAGUGAGACCCUAUCUCAAACAAACAAACAAAAAAGCCCAAAACAAACAAAAAAUCCAGUAAAGACAGAGAUUCCUAAAAUUCUACAAUUCUAAAAACCAGUAGGGCUCACUGAAUAUAAGAGAGGCAAGCAAAAAAUUACUCCAAUAUUUUGAGUUUGGGUAACCUGGAAUAUGGUUCAUUUAUUGAGUAAAUAGUUACUGAGUCCUAACUAUGUGCCACACACUGUGUUAAGCACUUGGCACUGUUCUCUUAUGAAAUCUUCACAAUGAACUCUAUUAAUUCUAUGAGAUAGGUAUUACCCCAAUCUCUACAAAAAAUUAAAGAAUUAGCCAGACAUGGUGGCACAUGCCUGAAGUCCCAGCUACUAGGGAGGCUGAGGUGGGAGGAUCACCUGAGCCUAGGAGGUUGAGGCUGCAGUGAAACCCUG
rnacentral:lncRNA from 1 species